rnacentral:rRNA from 1 species
GAUGAACGCUGGCGGCGUGCCUAAUACAUGCAAGUCGAGCGAAUGGUUUAAGAGCUUGCUCUUAUGAAGUUAGCGGCGGACGGGUGAGUAACACGUGGGUAACCUGCCCAUAAGACUGGGAUAACUCCGGGAAACCGGGGCUAAUACCGGAUAGCAUUUUGAACCGCAUGGUUCGAAAUUGAAAGGCGGCUUCGGCUGUCACUUAUGGAUGGACCCGCGUCGCAUUAGCUAGUUGGUGAGGUAACGGCUCACCAAGGCAACGAUGCGUAGCCGACCUGAGAGGGGGAUCGGCCACACUGGGACUGAGACACGGCCCAGACUCCUACGGGAGGCAGCAGUAGGGAAUCUUCCGCAAUGGACGAAAGUCUGACGGAGCAACGCCGCGUGAGUGAUGAAGGCUUUCGGGUCGUAAAACUCUGUUGUUAGGGAAGAACAAGUGCUAGUUGAAUAAGCUGGCACCUUGACGGUACCUAACCAGAAAGCCACGGCUAACUACGUGCCAGCCGCCGCGGUAA